AGUCAAUAGAUACCCGGGUAGUCCACGCCGUAAACGAUGAGUACUAGGUGUAGGAGGUAUCGACUCCUUCUGUGCCGCAGUUAAACACAAUAAGUACUCCGCCUGGGAAGUACGGUCGCAAGAUUAAAACUCAAAGGAAUUGACGGGGGCCCGCACAAGCAGCGGAGCAUGUGGUUUAAUUCGAAGCAACGCGAAGAACCUUACCUAGACUUGACAUCUCCUGAAUAGCGCAGAGAUGCGUGAAGCCCUUCGGGGCAGGAAGACAGGUGGUGCAUGGUUGUCGUCAGCUCGUGUCGUGAGAUGUUGGGUUAAGUCCCGNAACGAGCGCAACCCCUAUUAUUAGUUGCUACCAUUAACGUUGAGCACUCUAAUGAGACCGCCGGUUAACCGG
rnacentral:rRNA from 1 species